AAUUAAAAUAUCCAUUCAAUUCUAUUGUUAAAAAUUGGUAUGAUUAACAAAAUAAUCAAAUUGUUACACAUAGUGUGUCAUUUGUACCUCAAGUCGACAUACAUAGACUAGUUUUUAACGAUAGAAACUGAUGAAAUUUUUAAUA
rfam:Gossypium arboreum cultivar AKA8401 contig_29666_7, whole genome shotgun sequence.